AACGAACGCUGGCGGCAGGCUUAACACAUGCAAGUCGAACGAGACCUUCGGGUCUAGUGGCAGACGGGUGAGGAACACGUGGGAACAUCCCUUUCAGUUCGGAAUAACGUUGGGAAACUAACGCUAAUACCGGAUACGUCCUUCGGGAGAAAGAUUUAUCGCUGAAAGAUUGGCCCGCGUCUGAUUAGCUAGUUGGUGAGGUAAUGGCUCACCAAGGCUACGAUCAGUAGCUGAUCUGAGAGGAUGAUCAGCCACAGUGGGACUGAGACACGGCCCAAACUCCUACGGGAGGCAGCAGUGGGGAAUAUUGGACAAUGGGCGCAAGCCUGAUCCAGCCAUGCCGCGUGAGUGAUGAAGGCCUUCGGGUUGUAAAGCUCUUUUGUCCGGGAAGAUAAUGACUGUACCGGAAGAAUAAGCCCCGGCAAACUUCGUGCCAGCCGCCGCAGUAA
rnacentral:rRNA from 1 species